UCCCAAAAGAAGUUCUGUGCCAGUGGACCGUAUGUUGGUGAAGACUGUCCUCAGUGGAUGGUUCCUAUCACAAUCUCAACUAGUGAAGACCCCAACCAAGCCAAACUAAAAAUCCUAAUGGAUAAACCAGAGAUGAA